rfam:Gossypium raimondii Chr08_contig_196, whole genome shotgun sequence.
CAUUAAAGAUUUCAUCAAUUUGUACUAUUAAAAACUAACGUAAUCAUCAGAAUAGCCAAAAGUGACAAAUGACAUGCCACAUGUACCUCAUAUUAAUGCAUCAGACCAGUUUUUAACAAUAAAAAUAGAUAAAAAAAUUUUAACA